AUGGUGGACGAACCAGUUAUCGAACACCUAAGAAAUUAAGUUAAAUUUGCAAACACUUAAAAUAACAAAAACAAUUUGUUUUAACAAAUAACUAACAGUUCAAUCAUUAAAUAACUUAUCUGUAAAGUUUUCAAGCAAAUAUCCGUCAAGAAUUCAUAACAAUGAUUCCUUGUUUAUUGUCACCUCUAGCAGACAAAACAAAAUGGCGGCCGAUGUAAACAUGACCUAUUACCGAACAGUUCAUAAAUACUACUCCAGUGAAUAUAAACAAACAUGAAACUGAACAAUUUUUUUUGAAACAUGAAAAUUAACAAAAUUAGAAAAGCAUGUAGCUUUGAACACAAAAAACAAGUCUAUUCCUCUGCAAUAUUGUGGCAAGGACAAUAGAACGGGUCAUUUCUCCUGACAACAUUUGUGGCUGUGCAAAACUGCAAGUGCACCCAGUGGCUACAGUUAUCAAAGUCACACUUGGCCCACUUUACAAAUAUCAAUGAUACGCAGUUAGCAAGUUCUUUUGGCUGAAAGAGGCUGCAUACACAACAAGUUUCAUCAUCAUCUUCAUCUUCAGAGGAUUCAACAUCAGUGUUCAGAUGGGAGGGUCCAGGCUCUGGGAACAGAUGGUUCAGCAACAUAUGGUAGCGAAGUGGUAAAAUGCUCCUUGCUAACAGCUGACUCGUCAACAGGAAAAACACCUGAUUUCUUGAAGGCAGAUCGAAGAUUUUCCACAGACAAUGCUGCUACGUAUGCAGCAGAUCCAAGAGGAGCAACAUUGUACCUUGUUAUUUUUGUAGAGGGAUUUUCUCUGAUAAAUCUGUGACACAU